CAGCAGCCACGGUAAUACGAAGGGGGCUAGCGUUGUUCGGAAUUACUGGGCGUAAAGCGCACGUAGGCGGAUAUUUAAGUCAGGGGUGAAAUCCCGCAGCUCAACUGCGGAACUGCCUUUGAUACUGGGUAUCUUGAGUAUGGAAGAGGUUAGUGGAAUUGCGAGUGUAGAGGUGAAAUUCGUAGAUAUUCGCAGGAACACCAGUGGCGAAGGCGGCUAACUGGUCCAUAACUGACGCUGAGGUGCGAAAGCGUGGGGAGCAAACAGGAUUAGAUACCCCAGUAGUCCCUGUCUCUUAUAC
rnacentral:rRNA from 1 species